rnacentral:misc_RNA from 1 species
UUGAUAUAAACCUGAUGGGUUGUUGCUGGCUCUCCAGGGAGCAUGUGCACACCUUGUCAUCUUUAUAUCUCCACCUGUGCACUUUUUGUAGACCUUCUCAGGUCUAUGUUGCUUCAUUUUACCCCAAUGUAUGUCAAUAUAAUUGUCGUCUGAGUACUAUAUAAAACUUAUA